AAAUUGAAGAGUUUGAUCAUGGCUCAGAUUGAACGCUGGCGGCAGGCCUAACACAUGCAAGUCGAGCGGAAACGAGUUAUCUGAACCUUCGGGGAACGAUAACGGCGUCGAGCGGCGGACGGGUGAGUAAUGCCUAGGAAAUUGCCCUGAUGUGGGGGAUAACCAUUGGAAACGAUGGCUAAUACCGCAUGAUGCCUACGGGCCAAAGAGGGGGACCUUCGGGCCUCUCGCGUCAGGAUAUGCCUAGGUGGGAUUAGCUAGUUGGUGAGGUAAGGGCUCACCAAGGCGACGAUCCCUAGCUGGUCUGAGAGGAUGAUCAGCCACACUGGAACUGAGACACGGUCCAGACUCCUACGGGAGGCAGCAGUGGGGAAUAUUGCACAAUGGGCGCAAGCCUGAUGCAGCCAUGCCGCGUGUGUGAAGAAGGCCUUCGGGUUGUAAAGCACUUUCAGUCGUGAGGAAGGCGGCGUCGUUAAUAGCGGCGUUGUUUGACGUUAGCGACAGAAGAAGCACCGGCUAACUCCGUGCCAGCAGCCGCGGUAAUACGGAGGGUGCGAGCGUUAAUCGGAAUUACUGGGCGUAAAGCGCAUGCAGGUGGUUUGUUAAGUCAGAUGUGAAAGCCCGGGGCUCAACCUCGGAAUUGCAUUUGAAACUGGCAGACUAGAGUACUGUAGAGGGGGGUAGAAUUUCAGGUGUAGCGGUGAAAUGCGUAGAGAUCUGAAG
rnacentral:rRNA from 1 species